CGCCCGUUCUUAAGGCGCCGCGCGGCCGGAGCGGCCCCGUCGGGAGCCGGGAGCGGUGCGGCCGCAGGCGGGAGGCGAGGCGAAGCUGCGGGAUGCGCUCCCGCCGCCGUGGGGGUGCGGGGCGGCCCCCCUGGCCCGUGUCCAGGAUGCUGGCGUUGUGCCUGCUGUCCCUGGCCUGGCUCAGCGAGGGCUCCCAGCGCAGCGAGCCCAUGUUUGCAGCCGUCACCCACCGCCUUCUCCCGCCCGACUACGACAGCAAUCCCACACAGCUCAACUAUGGCGUGGCUGUCACCGACCUGGAUGCUGAUGGUGACUUCGAGAUUGUGGUGGCAGGGUACAAUGGCCCCAACCUGGUGCUCAAGUAUGACAAGGCACGGGGUCGGCUGGUGAACGUGGCAGAGGAUGAGCGGGGCUCCCCGUACUAUGCACUGCGGGACCGGCAGGGCAACGCCAUCGGUGUGACAGCCUGUGACAUCGACGGCGAUGGCCGCGAGGAGAUCUACUUCCUAAACACCAACAACGCCUUCUCUGGCAUGGCCACCUACACAGACAAGCUCUUCAAGCUCCGCAAUGGGCGCUGGGAGGACAUCCUGAGUGACGAGGUGAACCGGGACGUGGCCAGCCGCUUUGCUGGGCGUUCUGUUGCCUGCGUGGACCGGACGGGCUCCGGCAGGUACUCCAUCUACAUCGCCAACUAUGCCAGCGGCAACGUGGGCCCCCAUGCCCUGAUUGAGAUGGAUGUGGCUGCCAGUGACCCUGCCCGCGGUGUCGUGGUGCUGGUGGAUGUGGCCGCCCAGGCUGGCGUCAGCAAGUACACAGGAGGCCGUGGGGUGGCCGUGGGCCCCAUCCUGAGUGACAGUGCCUCUGACAUAUUCUGCGGUAAUGAGAACAGCCCAAACUUCCUCUUCCACAACCGGGGGGACGGGACGUACAGGGAUGUGGCAGCUGCUGUGGGGCUGGAUGACCCCUACCAGCACGGACGCGGUGUGGCGCUGGCUGACUUCAACCGCGACGGCCGGGUGGACAUCGUCUAUGGCAACUGGAACGGGCCUCACCGCCUCUACCUGCAAAGUGGAGCUCCUGGGCGUGUCCGAUUCCGGGACAUCGCCACCCCCAAGUUCUCCAUGCCGUCCCCCGUUCGCACCGUCAUCGCAGCCGACUUCGACAAUGACCAGGAGCUGGAGGUUUUCUUCAACAACAUCGCUUACCGCGGCUCCUCCGCCAACCGCCUCUUCCGGCUCAUCCGCAGAGAACACUCAGACCCCAUUGUGGAAGAGCUGAAUCCAGGGGAUGCAUUGGAGCCAGAGGGACGGGGCACAGGAGGUGCAGUGACAGAUUUUGAUGGCGAUGGGAUGCUGGACCUCAUCCUAUCCCAUGGUGAGUCCAUGGCACAGCCAAUCUCCAUCUUCAAGGGCACUCAGGGCACCAGCAACAACUGGCUGCGUGUCAUCCCCCGUACCCGCUUCGGGGCCUUUGCGCGGGGGGCCAAAGUGGUGCUGUUCACCCGGCGCAGCGGGGCCCACCUGCGCAUCAUUGACGGGGGCUCCGGCUAUCUCUGCGAGAUGGAGCCUGUGGCGCACUUCGGACUGGGGCGUGAUGAAGCCAGCAGCCUGGAGGUGACCUGGCCAGAUGGCCGUGUGGUGUCACGAGCUGUGGCGAGCAGUGAGACCAACUCUGUCCUGGAGAUCCCCUACCCUCUGGAUGUGGAGGAGCCACUCAUGCCUGCCCCGCUGGAGUGCGGGCAGGGAUUCUCCCAGCACGAGAAUGGACGCUGUGUAGACACAAAUGAGUGCACUGAGUUCCCCUUCAUCUGUCCCCGCGACAAGCCCCUCUGCAUCAACACCUAUGGCGGGUACCGCUGUCGCAGCAACAAGCGCUGCAGCCGGGGCUUUGAGCCAAACGAGGAUGGCACAGCUUGCGUGGCUCAAGUGGCCUUUUUUGGGGGAUAUCCCUCUGCUGGGAGCUGGCCUGGGCUCCCUCACAGUGCCCUCCUCCCUCUAGUCCUCGGACUCUGCCUUUGUCUCUAUGCACUUUAACCCCUGCCCAUAACAUGCCAGAGCAGCCUUGGUGGAAGGAUGGGCUGGCCUCUGCCUGUCUCUCUUUUUCUGUCCACAUCGAGCCACCCUGGAAGUGCCAGCUGGGACAUACUGGGCUGAUCUGCAGUGGGACCGGCACAGACCUGGCUGUCCUGUGCACCAUCUCUGGGAAAGCAGCCCUGGGGCAGCCUGGCAGUGCCCCUUCCCCUGCACACCCCACUGCCCCAGUGCUAUUCCUGCCAUGCUGGCACCUCCCUGGUGGUCACUUGCUCCGUCGCCUCGAUACCGUACAGUGUGCCUGCUGGUUUGGCCUGCGACGUGUGUGCUUUGCCUGCCCCCUCCUCGGUGACGGGAACCACCUCCCCAGCCCUGGCAGAGGAGGGUCUUCCCAGCCCUGCAGGGACAGGAUCCUCCUGGUCUGUUUUUUAACAUAUUGACCCUACUGUUUGGAGUCUGACCCUGCUUAGUCCCAACAGUCUUCCAGCCCCUCUCCCAGAGAACCCCUAAUAAACUAUAUCCCAUCUAUUAACCUGGUCUGCUGAGCUCUGCAUGCCAGGGCUGUGCUUGUUCUUCUGCCCACCCCACCCUGGGGCUGCACAGGGAGGGAGCCCAGGAGGGGGAACAUCCCCAGCGAUUCCCUCCCCAGGGCUGGGAUCUGGCUGCAGGGUGAUGGUGCCCCUGGCCCAGCUCUGCACUCAGACUACAGCAAAAUGUGCAGCUCUGAAGGGGCUGGGGUACAGCAAGCUGCACUGCCUGCACCCCAACAACAGGGCUGUACUGCUUUUCCCCCUGAAUGCUAUAACCCCACGCUGCUCUCUUUACCCCCAUCAGACAUCAACGAGUGUGCUCAGGGCUUGCACAACUGCAGCCAGCUCUGCAUCAACACCCCUGGGGCACACACCUGCCUCUGCCACCCAGGCUUCCGUCCCCUUGAUCUGGCUGCCAGCCGGUGCCUGGACAUAGAUGAGUGUCAGGCACA